rnacentral:rRNA from 1 species
GACGAACCGUGCGAACGUUGUUCGGAAUCACUGGGCUUAAAGGGCGCGUAGGCGGGCUGUCAAGUCUGGGGUGAAAUGCCGCGGCUCAACCGUGGAACUGCCUUAGAUACUGACGGCCUCGAGGAAGGUAGGGGCGAGCGGAACGGGUGGUGGAGCGGUGAAAUGCGUUGAUAUCACUCGGAACUCCGGUGGCGAAAGCGGCUCGCUGGGCCUUUCUGACGCUGAUGGCGCGAAAGCUAGGGGAGCAAACGGG